rnacentral:rRNA from 1 species
GAUGAACGCUGGCGGCGUGCCUAAUACAUGCAAGUCGAGCGAACGGACGAGAAGCUUGCUUCUCUGAUGUUAGCGGCGGACGGGUGAGUAACACGUGGAUAACCUACCUAUAAGACUGGGAUAACUUCGGGAAACCGGAGCUAAUACCGGAUGAUAUUUUGAACCGCAUGGUUCAAAAGUGAAAGACGGUCUUGCUGUCACUUAUAGAUGGAUCCGCGCUGCAUUAGCUAGUUGGUAAGGUAACGGCUUACCAAGGCAACGAUGCAUAGCCGACCUGAGAGGGUGAUCGGCCACACUGGAACUGAGACACGGUCCAGACUCCUACAGGAGGCAGCAGUAGGGAAUCUUCCGCAAUGGGCGAAAGCCUGACGGAGCAACGCCGCGUGAGUGAUGAAGGUCUUCGGAUCGUAAAACUCUGUUAUUAGGGAAGAACAUAUGUGUAAGUAACUGUGCACAUCUUGACGGUACCUAAUCAGAAAGCCACGGCUAACUACGUG